rnacentral:lncRNA from 1 species
GGGGAGCUGGGCACCAGCAUCUCUGUUCCUUUGCUUUCCUGAAGGAGCCAAUACACUAUGCUGCUCUCUAGACCCCAGAACCCUCAAGACGACAAGAAAUGGUGCUACCCAGCUCAUGCCUGGGCCUUGGAACCCGGACUUCUUCAAGUCCUUCUAGCUCUGAUCCAAGAAUAUGCUGCAUUCUGGAACCACUACACCACUUGACUCAGAAACCAGCUCUGGAAGGUUAAGCCAAAGGAACAGACGACCCACACCACCGGACGAACCAGCGGCACCCGCGGCCGCACCCACCCACCGCCCGGCAAUUCCAUCUUUGCGGCCACCCUGCCACGUCCAGGAGACCAUCACCACCCUCCCUUCCUCCUCUUCAUCCUUUUCUCUGACUUUUUUCUACUCUUCUCUCCUCUAUCCUUUGCUCAGAGGACCCAGAGCGUCCAGGACUCCGCUUCCCCGUCCCUCCUGAAUUAAUUUGCACUAAGUCGUUUGCACUGGUUUGGAGUUCUGGAACCAGCCUUGGGUCUCUGAGCGAGUGUCUGAGCAAACUGCUGAGUGGCCCGGCCUCCUUGGCCUGCGUGCCCCGCCCAGCGCCCACCUGUCCUUCAUCUCUGUCUGGGGGUGACUGGGUUGGGGCCCGAGUGUGUGAGGCCCCGCCCUCCCCUCGCCUAGUCUGGAGGCUCCAGACACCGAGCCAGCCCUGAAGCAUUCCGUCAUGCGGCCCUCUCGCCACGUGCCCCUCCCCACCAGGACUUCCCCAGAAGGCCUGGACUCAUCAAUAAACUCAGUCACAGGAAUCUGUCUCCGGGACUCUGACUGGGACCGUUGGGCUGGGGGGACA